UAGGGAAUCUUCGGCAAUGGACGAAAGUCUGACCGAGCAACGCCGCGUGAGUGAAGAAGGCUUUCGGAUCGUAAAACUCUGUUGUUAGAGAAGAACAAGGACGUUAGUAACUGAACGUCCCCUGACGGUAUCUAACCAGAAAGCCACGGCUAACUACGUGCCAGCAGCCGCGGUAAUACGUAGGUGGCAAGCGUUGUCCGGAUUUAUUGGGCGUAAAGCGAGCGCAGGCGGUUUCUUAAGUCUGAUGUGAAAGCCCCCGGCUCAACCGGGGAAGGUCAUUGGAAACUGGGAGACUUGAGUGCAGAAGAGGAGAGUGGAAUUCCAUGUGUAGCGGUGAAAUGCGUAGAUAUAUGGAGGAACACCAGUGGCGAAGGCGGCUCUCUGGUCUGUAACUGACGCUGAGGCUCGAAAGCGUGGGGAGCAAACAGG
rnacentral:rRNA from 1 species